AAUAUGCCCGGCUCUUCAGGUGCGAUGAUGUAAAUCAUUGUUAAACGGGAAGUUGGUGCAAUUCCAACACUGCCCCCGCAACGGUAAAUGUUGAUAAAACUGGCAUAUAGCCACUGCACAGAGUGUGGGAAGGCGUCAGUCUGGUGAACUACCUCAACAUGAGUCCGGAUACCGGCCUGGAGCCGUCUCUGAUG
rnacentral:ncRNA from 2 species